UACGUAGGCAGCGAGCGUUGUUCGGAAUUACUGGGCGUAAAGAGUGUGUAGGCGGUGCUCCCAGUCUGUUGUGAAAUCUCCCGGCUCAACUGGGAGGGUGCAGCGGAAACUAGAGUGCUAGAGGGUGGGAGAGGUAAGCGGAAUUCCUGGUGUAGCGGUGAAAUGCGUAGAUAUCAGGAGGAACACCGAUGGCGAAGGCAGGUCUCUGGGCAUUAACUGACGCUGAGGAGCGAAAGCAUGGGGAGCGAACAGG
rnacentral:rRNA from 1 species